AUUGAACGCUGGCGGCAGGCCUCACACAUGCAAGUCGAGCGGAGCGGCGGACGGGUGAGUACUGCCUAGGAAUCUGCCUGGUCGUGGGGGCUAACGUCCGGCAACGGGCGCUAAUACCGCAUACUAUCAGAUGACCCUCGGUCGGAUUAGCUAGUUCGUGGGGUAAAGGCCUACCAAGGCGACGAUCCGUAACUGGCCUGAGAGGAUGAUCAGUCACGCUGGAACUGAGACACGGUCCAGACGCCUACGGUAGGCAGCAGUGGGGAAUAUUGGACAAUGGGCGAAAGCCUGAUCCAGCCAUGCCGCGUGUGUGAAGAAGGUCUUCGGAUUGUAAAACACUUUAAGUUGGGAGGCGUUACCAACAGAAUAAGCACCGGCUAACUUCGUGCCAGCAGCCGCGGUAAUUC
rnacentral:rRNA from 1 species